AGAGUUUGAUCAUGGCUCAGGAUGAACGCUGGCGGCGUGCCUAAUACAUGCAAGUCGAACGGAGAGCAACUAGUAAUUUAUUACUGGAUGUUUCUUAGUGGCGAACGGGUGAGUAACGCGUUGGUGACCUGCCCCGAAGCGGGGGAUAACAGAUAGAAAUGUCUGCUAAUACCCCAUGUGGUCACGGGAGUUAGAGUUCUCGUGUCUAAAGGUUUGGAUCACUUCGGGAGGGGCCUGCGUCCCAUCAGCUAGUUGGUAAGGUAACGGCUUACCAAGGCUAUGACGGGUAGGGGACCUGAGAGGGUGGUCCCCCACAAUGGUACUGAAACACGGACCAUACACCUACGGGUGGCAGCAGUAGGGAAUAUUGCACAAUGGACGAAAGUCUGAUGCAGCAACACCGCGUGUACGAUGAAGGCCCUCGGGUCGUAAAGUACUUUUAUGUGGGAAGAGAAAGGACUGUACCACAUGAAUAAGGAUCGGCUAACUACGUGCCAGCAGCCGCGGUAACACGUAGGAUCCAAACGUUAUCCGGAUUUACUGGGCGUAAAGCGCGUGUAGGCGGUUUGGUAAGUUGGGUGUCAAAGCUCCGGGCUCAACCCGGAGAGGUCGCUCAAAACUCCCAAACUAGAGGACGGUAGAGGGAGGUGGAAUUCCGGGUGUAGUGGUGAAAUGCGUAGAUAUCCGGAGGAACACCAGUGGCGAAGGCGGCCUCCUGGGCCGUUCCUGACACUCAGACGCGAAAGCUAGGGUAGCAAACGGGAUUAGAAACCCCGGUAGUCCUAGCCGUAAACGAUGUAGACUUGGUGUUGGAGGCGUAAAAACCUUCAGUGCCGCAGCUAACGCGGUAAGUCUACCGCCUGGGGACUACGACCGCAAGGUUAAAACUCAAAGGAAUUGACGGGUUCCCGCACAAGCAGCGGAGCGUGUGGUUUAAUUCGAUGAUACGCGAAGAACCUUACCUGGGCUUGACAUGCGAGUGGUAGGGAAGUGAAAGCGGACCGACCCUUCGGGGAGUUCGCACAGGUGCUGCAUGGCUGUCGUCAGCUCGUGCCGUGAGGUGUCCGGUUAAGUCCGGUAACGAGCGCAACCCUUGCUGUAUGUUACAAGUGUCAUACGGGACUGCCGGUAUAAAGCCGGAGGAAGGUGGGGAUGACGUCAAGUCAGCAUGGCCUUUAUGUCCGGGGCUACACACACGCUACAAUGGUCAGUACAAUGGGCUGCAAGACCGCAAGGUGGAGCCAAUCCCUAAAGCUGGCCUCAGUUCAGAUUGCAGGCUGCAACCCGCUUGCAUGAAGCCGGAGUUGCUAGUAACCGCGCGUCAGCCACAGUGCGGUGAAUACGUUCCCGGGUCUUGUACACACCGCCCGUCACGUCAUGGGAGCUGGUAACACCUGAAGUCGGUAUCCUAACCGUAAGGAAGGAGCCGCCGAAGGUGGGACUGGUGACUGGGACGAAGUCGUAACAAGGUAACCG
rnacentral:rRNA from 1 species